GACCUUGCGUCUACAGCCCGAGCAACUCGCUUAAGGCUGAUGGCUGGUGGCUUUGCCACCGGCCU
rfam:Pseudomonas sp. M30-35, complete genome.